UCCAGAAGAUGUUGAAGUUAGUUUACUCCUCCCAAUGGAUUACAUUGGAAGCACUACAUAGUGGACCAAUUUUGUGUUGGCAAUUCAUGUUUUGAGGUUGUUGCUCUUGGUAGUCCAGGUCUCAGAAGCAUAGAAGAUAGAGAUCAUUAUACUGGGUUUGAUCAUCAGGCACAAGUGCUAUGCUUCAAAUCAAAAACAAAAUGUCCAAAGCCCUUGGUUCCACAAGAGUAUGUAAUUAUCAAUGCCAAAAAUCUGUUUCUAGGAGAUAUGAUAUUAAUGCAGAUCGCAAAACGAUUGUCGUUAGUGUAGAGCAUUGAAUUUAGAUAUUUUACUGGUUCAAAUGCUAGGCAACACAACGCAGUUGUAUGUGUUACACUGCCUGGUGAGUUUGAUAUACAAAAUUCUGAUUUAAUAUAAUUUCAUAAUAAUCUGAUCUCGGCCUUCGUUACUUUGCAACCAUGUUUCUGUAAAGGCAUUUGGAUAAUACCAAAUUCAUAUUAAUUUGUGCCAUCAGCUUGUUUCAAAUGGUUCAUGUGUUCAGAAGUUUUUAAUUGAAUCAUUUUCCUUAGUCUGACGCUAUUUGCAUACUCUACAUGUCAUUCCUUUUCACUAUUGCCACCUUUCCUUUCGCCUUUCUAAACACCCCCUCACCUGAACCAUUUUAUUGGGCGCAAAUAAUCUUAGAACAGUUAUGAAUAGCAGUUGUAUCAUUAACCAAAGUUUAAAUAGAAUAAGGCCGAGUUCAAAAUAAUGGUUCAACAGCACCGUAAGGGCAAUUUUAGAGUGGAUGAUAAAUGGUGGCCUUGUCAGUGACAACUAAAUAUCCCUAAAAAUGAGUCAUAGGUUUCUCUGAGCUACUUCUAAUGGCCUGCACAAGGAGAGUUAAAAGUGCAUAAGAUAUGAAUGGAAAAAUAUGCAUUUUCUUUUAGCAUCAAAGAUCAGGUACAAGCAUUUGAAUUAUUUUUUUUAAUUGUAUUGUAAUUAAUUUAUUAGCCAAGUAUGUAAAAACAUACAAGGAAUUUGAUUUGUCAUAGUCAUACCAAAAAAGCAACACAACACACAACUACAUAAAAAUUAAAAUAAACAUCCACCACAGUGCACUGAUGGAAGACAAUAAUGUAUUAUCAUCUUCCCUCCUUUACUCCUGCAGUCGGGGCAGUUGAACCACCCGUAGUCGAGAUCGAAGCUCCUGUGGCUUUGAGCUCCCGAAGUCGGUCCAUAACCAAGAGAUUGUGAGUUCCACGAUGUUAAGUCCGCAGGCUCCCGUGGUUGGAGCUCCCAAAGUCGAUCCCCAGCAAGAGGCCUACAGCUCCUCGAUGCUAGACCGAAUUCGGAAGUCGCAUCUGUUGAGGAAAUAAAAGUUUCCCCCACUCCCCACAUAAUACAAAACUAAAUACACUAAAACAUAUUUAACAGACUAAAAAGAAAAGAACGAGAGACUGUUGGCGAGGCUGCCAUCGUACGGCGUCACCUGGUGGUCUUCUGGGGUUAUAUGUGGUUUGUCAUCGUUCAGUUUAGGCUUUAUAAGUGUAUGAACAGGUUGGAUUGGAAGGUUUGGCCUUGUGUGAAGAUGGGAUUCAUUUUAAUUGGCAUCAUGGUCAGCGCAGACAUCAUGGGCCGAAGAACCAGUUUCUGUGGUGUAAUGAUCUAUGGCCAGUAAAAUGAAAGUGUUUAUCACUAGCAAGUGGUGUAUGCUGACUUCCUACUGCAUCCAUGUCAACAAGGCAUCAAUAGCUUUUUGGACCAGACAACUUUGAAUAGCCUUCAGUUACAGUAACAAAUUCUUAACUAGAAUUCUUAACAGCUUGGAAUUAACAGAAACUGUUUUGACCAUAAAAGUUUACCCCAAAGAUCAUUUAUUUUCUCAACAGAUGUUAUCUUAUCCACUUCUAAUUGUGGAGUAAAUACUUGUACCCAUCUUGCAUAUGAUACAUGGAAACCCGAUGAAAAUAAAGCUUUAUGCAGCACAACAUUAGAAAAUGAUUUUUCUGGAGUUGCAUCAGAUCCUUCGGCAUCCGUGAAGGGAAUUCUGAAACUGGAGUUGUAUCUGCAGAAGUCGAGAUGUCCUUCCUUUUACUUAAUUCAUUGGUUGAGAAUACAGACCGGUGCACAUCAAAAUGAUGCUGAUCAUCAUCUACGUCUGAAGAAUUGUGGCUGUAACCGUCACUCUGAUUUGCUAGUCGCCAGCCAAUGUUUUCUGAACCCUUUGGUGCUGGGAUUGCAGAAGAGAUGGUAUUCUGCACAGAAGAAAAACAUAUUG